rnacentral:sRNA from 1 species
GUCCCGUGCGGGCACUCAUUCUCGUAGUAGGUAGGCGCAUCGGCAACGUGGGUUAGAAACCCGCGAACAAGCUGGUGCGCGCAAACAGGUCCCGAAUGGGGCCUUUUUUAUUGCCUUUU